rnacentral:rRNA from 1 species
GGGUGAGUAACACGUGAGAAUCUGCCUUCAGGACGGGGACAACAGUUGGAAACGACUGCUAAUACCGGAUAUGCCGAGAGGUGAAACAUUAAAUGGCCUGGAGAGGAGCUCGCGGCUGAUUAGCUAGUUGGUUGGGUAAAGGCUGACCAAGGCGACGAUCAGUAGCUGGUCUGAGAGGAUGAACAGCCACACUGGGACUGAGACACGGCCCAGACUCCUACGGGAGGCAGCAGUGGGGAAUUUUCCGCAAUGGGGGCAACCCUGACGGAGCAACGCCGCGUGGGGGAAGAAGGUUUGUGGAUUGUAAACCCCUUUUCUCUGGGAAGAAGGAAUGACGGUACCAGAGGAAUCAGCAUCGGCUAACUCCGUGCCAGCAGCCGCGGUAAUACGGAGGAUGCAAGCGUUAUCCGGAAUUAUUGGGCGUAAAGCGUUCGCAGGUGGUUAAUCAAGUCUGCUGUUAAAGUGCGGGGCUAAACUCCGUAAGAGCGGUGGAAACUGGUUGACUAGAGGAUGGUAGGGGUAGAGGGAAUUCCCAGUGUAGCGGUGAAAUGCGUAGAUAUUGGGAAGAACACCGGUGGCGAAAGCGCUCUACUGGACCAUGACUGACACUGAGGGACGAAAGCUAGGGGAGCGAAAGGGAUUAGAUACCCCUGUAGUCCUAGCCGUAAACGAUGGACACUAGGUGUUGGGCGUAUCGACCCGUCCAGUGCCGAAGCUAACGCGUUAAGUGACCCGCCUGGGGAGUACGGUCGCAAGAUUGAAACUCAAAGGAAUUGACGGGGGCCCGCACAAGCGGUGGAGUAUGUGGUUUAAUUCGAUGCAACGCGAAGAACCUUACCAGGGAUUGACAUCCCGCGAACUUUUCAGAGAUGAGAAGGUGCCUACGGGAACGCGGAGACAGGUGGUGCAUGGCUGUCGUCAGCUCGUGUCGUGAGAUGUUGGGUUAAGUCCCGCAACGAGCGCAACCCACGUUUUUAGUUGCCAUCAUUGAGUUGGGCACUCUAGAGAGACUGCCGUGGACAACACGGAGGAAGGUGUGGACGACGUCAAGUCAUCAUGCCCCUUACGCCCUGGGCUACACACGUAUUACAAUGCGACGGACAGAGGGCAGCGAGCGUGCGAACGUAAGCAAAUCUCAUAAACCGUGGCACAGUUCAGAUUGCAGGCUGCAACUCGCCUGCAUGAAGGAGGAAUCGCUAGUAAUCGCAGGUCAGCAUACUGCGGUGAAU